rnacentral:rRNA from 1 species
GGGCCUGGUUAGUACUUGGAUGGGAGACCGCCUGGGAAUACCAGGUGCUGUAAGCUUUUAAGCGCAGGAGGCGCCCUAUCCCCGCUCGCUCGCUCAUUCCCCUGUUCACACGUGCAGUGCGGCUUGUCCGUCUGUUUAUUUGUCAGCUUUGGCGAGACACGGGUGCUUGUGUAUUAGCGUGAGCGUUUUUUAUUCUGAUCAUGAACAGUUUUACAAGUCCGCAAAGGAUCGAGGAAAGGUUUAUCGCCAGCUGAAAAGAGACACAGCGCUUCGGCUGUGGAGACUUGUUCGGCUGGCGUUCGGGGAGUCGCGUUUUUCAGAAUUGUAUUGAGAUCGUUUUCCACAGAGCUCAGAUGUCAAAGCACAGCAGCAGCUCUCCACAGCGAUCCUCUAUAGCGCCCUUUCUCCCGCAGCUCCGUCCUCAUUGGAAGGAAGCAAGAGUGAAAGGCUGAAGUGAAAUAGAGCGGGGACGAAGGCAGUGAAGAGAGAGAACGUGGGAAGAAGAGAAAAACGCAAGGGAAAAAAAGCAGCGUCGUAAAAGAGGUGACGGAGCUGUCCUCUCUAUAAGAAGGGUGCCAGCGAGCCCUUGCUCUCGCUUACGGCCAUACCAGCCCUGA